UUAGGUCGGCGUUUACUAAAUGGAAAUGGUGUGAAACAAGCUCGUUAUAUGGCGUCUGUUCCGGCAGUGGAAACUUUUAAAUAUGGCAGCAUUCAACUCAUUAGUGGUGUAGUGUUAGGUGUGGCUUGCUGGGGUUUUAUUUACUCGAAAGGCGUCGAGCUCUGUCUAGAGCCAUCUAGAAAUGUCAGAAUUGAAGAUUGGCGAACGCUCAGUAAACGUGACUAAAUAUUCCAAGAAGCGAAGAUUUAAUUGGAUAUUAGACAGAGGACUGGAAUGUGGGAUAUUUUCCCGACAUGCACCAGGAACGUCAGCCAUAAAGGCGUUAAUUAGAUUAGAUAUACAACUAGAUAAUUGUAGUUUUUGUAUAAACAAACCUCCUGUAAAAUGUGCCAUACCGGUGAAAUGAACAUUCACUGUACAUUUCACUUGUAUAUUUACAAAUAUAUCGGGUCUUGCAGGGUAUUUUAUCUUUUGUACACUUUUCGAAAUAUGUUUGAACACAUUCAUACUCCUUUUACCGUAGAUCAAAUGCAGCGACUGCAACUUUUGUUGGUAUUAUUAUUAAAAUUAAAAUUUUAAAUGCG